CUGUAAGCCUGCGAAGGUGGCCUGUGAGGGUUGCUGGAGGUAUCAGAAGUGCGAAUGCUGACAUAAGUAACGAUAAAGCGGGUGAAAAGCCCGCUCGCCGGAAGACCAAGGGUUCCUGUCCAACGUUAAUCGGGGCAGGGUGAGUCGACCCCUAAGGCGAGGCCGAAAGGCGUAGUCGAUGGGAAACGGGUUAAUAUUCCCGUACUUGGUGUUACUGCGAAGGGGGGACGGAGAAGGCUAUGUUGGCCGGGCGACGGUUGUCCCGGUUUAAGCGUGUAGGUGUGUGUUCCAGGUAAAUCCGGUUCACUUUAACACUGAGGCGUGAUGACGAGGCACUACGGUGCUGAAGCAACAAAUGCCCUGCUUCCAGGAAAAGCCUCUAAGCAUCAGGUAACAUCAAAUCGUACCCCAAACCGACACAGGUGGUCAGGUAGAGAAUACCAAGGCGCUUGAGAGAACUCGGGUGAAGGAACUAGGCAAAAUGGUGCCGUAACUUCGGGAGAAGGCACGCUGACACGUAGGUGAAGUGAUUUACUCAUGGAGCUGAAGUCAGUCGAAGAUACCAGCUGGCUGCAACUGUUUAUUAAAAACACAGCACUGUGCAAACACGAAAGUGGACGUAUACGGUGUGACGCCUGCCCGGUGCCGGAAGGUUAAUUGAUGGGGUCAGCGCAAGCGAAGCUCCUGAUCGAAGCCCCGGUAAACGGCGGCCGUAACUAUAACGGUCCUAAGGUAGCGAAAUUCCUUGUCGGGUAAGUUCCGACCUGCACGAAUGGCGUAAUGAUGGCCAGGCUGUCUCCACCCGAGACUCAGUGAAAUUGAACUCGCUGUGAAGAUGCAGUGUACCCGCGGCAAGACGGAAAGACCCCGUGAACCUUUACUAUAGCUUGACACUGAACAUUGAGCCUUGAUGUGUAGGAUAGGUGGGAGGCUUUGAAGUGUGGACGCCAGUCUGCAUGGAGCCGGCCUUGAAAUACCACCCUUUAAUGUUUGAUGUUCUAACGUGGACCCGUGAUCCGGGUUGCGGACAGUGUCUGGUGGGUAGUUUGACUGGGGCGGUCUCCUCCUAAAGAGUAACGGAGGAGCACGAAGGUUGGCUAAUCCUGGUCGGACAUCAGGAGGUUAGUGCAAUGGCAUAAGCCAGCUUGACUGCGAGCGUGACGGCGCGAGCAGGUGCGAAAGCAGGUCAUAGUGAUCCGGUGGUUCUGAAUGGAAGGGCCAUCGCUCAACGGAUAAAAGGUACUCCGGGGAUAACAGGCUGAUACCGCCCAAGAGUUCAUAUCGACGGCGGUGUUUGGCACCUCGAUGUCGGCUCAUCACAUCCUGGGGCUGAAGUAGGUCCCAAGGGUAUGGCUGUUCGCCAUUUAAAGUGGUACGCGAGCUGGGUUUAGAACGUCGUGAGACAGUUCGGUCCCUAUCUGCCGUGGGCGCUGGAGAACUGAGGGGGGCUGCUCCUAGUACGAGAGGACCGGAGUGGACGCAUCACUGGUGUUCGGGUUGUCAUGCCAAUGGCACUGCCCGGUAGCUAAAUGCGGAAGAGAUAAGUGCUGAAAGCAUCUAAGCACGAAACUUGCCCCGAGAUGAGUUCUCCCUGAGACUUUAGGUCUCCUGAAGGAACGUUGAAGACGACGACGUUGAUAGGCCGGGUGUGUAAGCGCAGCGAUGCGUUGAGCUAACCGGUACUAAUGAACCGUGAGGCUUAACCUUACAACGCCGAAG
rnacentral:rRNA from 1 species